CGGGAUUGCAGGGCGUCGGCCACUCAGCUGCUGUGAGUUCAGAGAAAGGAGGCGAUGCUGGCUUUGAGGGAGACCCUUCCUUCCCCUCUGACCACUGCAUGUGUCACCCUGACGUGUCUCCUCCCGAAGACAGAGACCCUGCCUUUCUGGAUGGUUGUCAUCAGCCACCUUCUCCGCUGUGCUUGGAAUAAGUGCUUUGGUAGAGGCAGAGGACAUCGAGAUGGGCCCAGCCGAGCUUCAAGAUGGAAGGAACGGGGGGCCCUCAAUCACUCCUGGAGACGAGAGCCUCCCAUCCUUCGGGAGCCCCCACGUUGGACUUUACGUCAGUGAUAAAUCGUCUUCCAUUGUGGUAAGCCACUGCCCCUCGGGGAGUUAACUGUUGCAGCAGCCAGCUUUUCCCUGACUAUUACACCCCCAGGAAACACACUUCCUCCUGAGCUGAUGCUUAUGUUGUGGACGGUGGGGCCGGGAUCCCCCCAGACCCCCCCUGGCAGUGCAGUGAGUGGGAUGCGGUCUUGUCCGUUGCCAUCCGAGAUCUCAGACCACAAGGAGAUGCUUGGUGUCCUUGCUGAGCUCAGAGCCGACUGAGUCUGGGUGGGACCUUCUUGUCCUCAGAGCCUACCCUCCGUGUGGCUGUGGCCUGACAGACUCUGGGAGCUCCCCUUGCUCUCCUGGGUCUCUGAAUGGAGGGUCUCUAACCAUUGCCCACGGGGAAUGGAAUCCCUCUCGGGGAGCAAAAGCCUACAGAACAACCUUUCUGAGGAGCCGAUGGCCUUCACCCUCCAUAUGGCUCAUACACAGGCCACCUUCCUCCAGGGUCCUCAGGCUCCGUGUGAGGCACAGGGAGCCCCUUAGCGCCCAAGAGCUCACGUGACUCAUUCUAACGUGAGCAGUGAGGAGGAAGUCAAAGAAACGAGAAUCAUGAUUUGAGCGAGGCCCACGGUGGGUAUUUCUUGGCCAAGGAAUGGGGAGCCCAGCCAAAAUUCCCUGCCAAAAUUUCUCAGCUCUGAGAGUCACGGAUGAAGGGCAUAGGCACUUUCUGCCUCAUUAACCAAACUAGGAGGGGCGGCUUGGGAGGAAAAAUAUCCAGACCACUUCGGAGCACACGAAGUUAGAGGGGUCCGUGCGGGUGCCCACAUAGAUGCUUCUAGCAGCUGCACGGGAAUGGGGACCUGAGAGGGCUGAAUCGGGGUGCAAACUUGGGUGUGGAGCCAAGUGAUGAUGACCGCGCUGAGGGAGGGGAUUGCUGAGAGAGCCAGAGAGAAUGCUAAGAAGAGGUUUACGGGGCAAAGUGGGUCACUUGAGUGGCCAGGACAGCUAGACCAGGAGGCCAGUGGAAUCCAGGAGGAGAGGGUGGAAGAGAAGCAGGAGAGAGGGGUGUCACAGGAGCUGUGUGGGGGGCGAGUGAGGGAGAAGGCGUGGUCAGCCAGGUGGGGCAGCCAGAGGCCAGGAGGGCAGGGGACGUGGAAAGGCCAUCGCAUCUGGUGACACAAGCUCAUUGGCAGCCCUGCGAGAACAAAAGUUAACCCAGAAGGAACAGUCACUGGUUGGCAAGGGGAAGCCAGGUGGAGAUUUAAAAUUUAUGGCAGAGAGUCUGCAAAAAGGAUAAACUGCCCUGUAGGGACUGUGAGCUAAUUGUAUCACGUGGUGGGCCUGGGGCUGGGCCAGUCUAGCAGCACAAAACAGGAGCCCACUUGCACAAGCUUAAGUAAAAAGGGAGAAUUUAUAGGAAGAAUAUGAGACUCCGAGAUUCAAGGACAGGAAGUGCAGCCCGCCUCUGGGGGAAGGAACCUUGGCAGCUCCGCGUCUUCUCCCUUCCCUAUCUCUGCUGCUCUGACGUCUCUGAUCGCUGCUUCCCUCCCAGAUGGUGUCUUUCUUCUCUCUCAGCUUUUUCUGCUGUUCCGUGUGCAUGGUGGAACAUGGCUGCCUCAGGUGGCCCGCCUGGUCUGUUCACUUCCUUCUCCUCUGGGCUCACACUGUGCCUGCCACAAGGUGUUCAAGCAGCCAGUGAAGAUUGGCUAGAACCACCAAGGUAUCUGGAGGCCCAGUUCCCGAGAAAGCAUCUGAUUGGUCCAGUUGGGUCAGGUGCCCAUCCCUUAUCCAAUCAGUGGUGGCCAAGGGGAGGGUCUUGUGCCCGGGGCUCCUCAGUAGGGGCCUGGGAGUAGCAUCUUUGGGAAGCCAGCUGAGGCAGGUUCUUGAAGAGGAGAAUGCAGGUGGCUCACAUUCUCUGAUGUUCCGGCCAUGCUGCAGGCCCCUGAUCCCCCUGGAACAGAGAAAGGCUCCCGAGUUCAGGCUUCACUUUAAUGAUGAUCAAUAAACAAUGUGGAGGCCCCGAAGGAUGGGGCGUGUGCGCUGACACCUAAGUGGCAAAUGAGACAUUCUCUCCUCCACUUCCCCCGCCCCCAUGCACACACCCAAGCCCAGCGACACAACCCAAAGAACUCAUCAGGGCCUCUUGUGACAGUUAGAUGUCCCCAGGCUGAGCUCUCAUCUUCAGUUUCCUUCCACAAUAACCUGAAAAGAGAAGAGCUAAAUUGGAGGGAGCUGCGGCAGAGGGGGACACAAUACUUGCCCUGCUUGGAAUGGCCGUGACCCCACAGUAUGUGGGUCAGGCAGAGUCUCAACCAGAAGCAGUUAGGAUAGUUUGACAAGAUUCAGGGACAAAGGGACUAGUCCACAAAGAUGUGGGUGUAGGGGAACCACAGGAAUAACACAAGAAGCAGAAGCUGUUAGUGGUGGAGUUUUUGUGGGUUUUGGGGUUUUGUCUUGUUUUGUUUGUUUUUUAAUCACCCUGGUCCCGGAGGUGAGUAGAGAAGUCCAUGUUAAAAGGAGCAGGGACCUAGGAGUUCCCUGGUGGCUCGGUAGGUUAAGUAUCUGGCCUUGCCACUGCUAUGGAGCAGGUUUGAUCC
ensembl:lncRNA